rnacentral:rRNA from 1 species
CCUACGGGAGGCAGCAGUGAGGAAUAUUGGUCAAUGGGCGCGAGCCUGAACCAGCCAAGUCGCGUGAGGGAAGACGGCCCUAUGGAUUGUAAACCUCUUUUGUCUGGGAGCAAAAGACUCCACGCGUGGCGUUCCGAGAGUACCCGAAGAAAAAGCAUCGGCUAACUCCGUGCCAGCAGCCGCGGUAAUACGGAGGAUCCGAGCGUUAUCCGGAUUUAUUGGGUUUAAAGGGUGCGCAGGUGGAAAGUUAAGUCAGUUGUGAAAUUGGAAGGCUCAACCCUUUAAGAGCCGUUGAAACUGGUUUUCUUGAGUGAGUGAGAAGUAGGCGGAAUGCGUGGUGUAGCGGUGAAAUGCAUAGAUAUCACGCAGAACUCCGAUUGCGAAGGCAGCACACUGGAGCUCAACUGACGCUCAUGCACGAAAGUGUGGGUAUCGAACAGGAUUAGAUACCCUAGUAGUC